AGGCUGAGCUGUGAUGGGGAGAAGACAUUGUGUCUUCGAGUCGUUGAUUUCACACUGCCGAGAAAAGCCUCUAGAUAGAAAAUAGGUGCCCGUACCGCAAACCGACACAGGUAGUCAAGAUGAGAAUUCUAAGGUGAGCGAGCGAACUCUCGUUAAGGAACUCGGCAAAAUGACCCCGUAACUUCGGGAGAAGGGGUGCUCUUUAGGGUUAACGCCCAGAAGAGCCGCAGUGAAUAGGCCCAAGCGACUGUUUAUCAAAAACACAGGUCUCUGCUAAACCGUAAGGUGAUGUAUAGGGGCUGACGCCUGCCCGGUGCUGGAAGGUUAAGAGGAGUGGUUAGCUUCUGCGAAGCUACGAAUCGAAGCCCCAGUAAACGGCGGCCGUAACUAUAACGGUCCUAAGGUAGCGAAAUUCCUUGUCGGGUAAGUUCCGACCCGCACGAAAGGCGUAACGAUUUGGGCACUGUCUCAACGAGAGACUCGGUGAAAUCAUAGUACCUGUGAAGAUGCAGGUUACCCGCGACAGGACGGAAAG
rnacentral:rRNA from 1 species